rnacentral:ncRNA from 1 species
UAGGCUGAGGAGCAAAAGGAGGAAUCCGCCCAAGGAGGGGCUCGCGUCUGAUUAGUUAGUUGGUGAGGCAAUGGCUUACCAAGGCGACGAUCAGUAGCUGGUCCGAGAAAAUGAUCAGCCACACUGGGACUGAGACACGGCCCAGACUCCUAUGGGAGGCAACAGUGGGGAAUUUUCCGCAAUGGGCGAAAGCCUGACGGAGCAAUGCCGCGUGAAGGCAGAAGGCCCACGGGUCAUGAACUUCUUUUCUCGGAGAAGAAACAAUGACGGUAUCUGAGGAAUAAGCAUCGGCUAACUCUGUGCCAGCAGCCGCGGUAAGACAGAGGAUGCAAGCGUUAUCCGGAAUGAUUGGGCGUAAAGCGUCUGUAGGUGGAUUUUCAAGUAUGCCGUCAAAUCCCAGGGUUGGAAAUUACUGGAAAAUAUGUUGUGAAAUGGCUAACAGCAGCAGCAUAAACAGUCAAUGUGCAGUCCAGGUAGCCUGGCAAGCAACAUUAGGUUCGCUCCUUU